GAUGAAGAACGCAGUGAAAUGCGAUAAGUAGUGUGAAUUGCAGAAUUCAGUGAAUCAUCGAAUCUUUGAACGCACAUUGCGCCCUUUGGUAUUCCUUAGGGCAUGCCUGUUCGAGCGUCAUUUAAACCUUCAAGCUAAGCUUGGUGCUGGGUGACUGUCCGCUUCACGGCGGACUCGCCUCAAAAUUAUUGGCGGCCGGUACAUUGGCUUCGAGCGCAGCAGAAACGCGAACUCGGGCCCGUCGUAUUGGCUCCCAGAAGCUAUCUUCACAAUUUUGACCUCGGAUCAGGUAGGGAUACCCGCUGAACUUAAGCAUAUCAAUAAGCGGAGGA
rnacentral:misc_RNA from 1 species